rnacentral:lncRNA from 1 species
UGCCACUGGGAGCCCAAAUGCCCACACGCGGGCCACCCCUGGCUCGCCCACCGCCUCCAGGAGGUCUGUGAAACCUCCGUGCAGCCGCGAGGACUUUGGAUCUGGAUCGCCGGCGACUGCGGCUGAGAACGCCUCCUCGGGCUCCGGCUGCUCCCCCAGUGGCAGGAAAGAACGCGCCAAGCGUUUCCCGAGCUGUUCCCUGUCACUGAGAGGAUGGCAGCACCCCCGAACUCUUCUCCUCCUCCAUCAGCCACCUACCUCCCACAAGUCCCACCUAAGACAAGGAAGCUGCACGUGCUGUGAGCGGUAACAAAGGAAAGGAGAGAAACUGAAGCUGUGUGGAACCCGUUUUGGUGAAAGCUUUGUUGUCCAUCGAACUGCCCAACUGAAUUAUGU